GACGAACGCUGGCGGCGUGCUUAACACAUGCAAGUCGAACGAAGUGGCGAACGGGUGAGUAACGCGUAAUCAACCUGCCCUUCAGAGGGGUAAAAAAGGUGGAAAAGACUGCUAAUCCCGCAUCCUGACGGCGGGGAUUGCGUCUGAUUAGCUAGUUGGAGGGGUAACGGUCCACCAAGGCGAUGAUCAGACACCGGUCGGAGGGGAUGAACGGCCACAUGGGGAAUGAGACAAGGCCCAGACGCCUACGGGAGGCAGCAGUGGGGAAUCAUCCGCAAUGGACGAAAGUCUGACGGAGCAACUCCGCGUGAGUGAUGACGGCCUUCGGGUUGUAAAGCUCUGUUAAUCGGGACGCGUUACCGGAAUAGAAAGCCACGGCUAACUACGUGCCAGCAGCCGCGGUAAUAC
rnacentral:rRNA from 1 species